UACGUAGGGUGCAAGCGUUAAUCGGAAUUACUGGGCGUAAAGCGUGCGCAGGCGGUUUUGUAAGACUGUCGUGAAAUCCCCGGGCUCAACCUGGGAAUGGCGAUGGUGACUGCAAGGCUAGAGUUUGGCAGAGGGGGGUAGAAUUCCACGUGUAGCAGUGAAAUGCGUAGAUAUGUGGAGGAACACCGAUGGCGAAGGCAGCCCCUGGGCCAAAACUGACGCUCAUGCACGAAAGCGUGGGGAGCAAACAGG
rnacentral:rRNA from 1 species